AGAGUUGUAUCCUGGCUCAGAUUGAACGCUGGCGGCAUGCCUUACACAUGCAAGUCGAACGGCAGCACGGAGCUUGCUCUGGUGGCGAGUGGCGAACGGGUGAGUAAUAUAUCGGAACGUACCCAAGAGUGGGGGAUAACGUAGCGAAAGUUACGCUAAUGCCGCAUACGAUCUAAGGAUGAAAGCAGGGGACCGCAAGGCCUUGUGCUCCUGGAGCGGCCGAUAUCUGAUUAGCUAGUUGGUAGGGUAAAAGCCUACCAAGGCAUCGAUCAGUAGCUGGUCUGAGAGGACGACCAGCCACACUGGAACUGAGACACGGUCCAGACUCCUACGGGAGGCAGCAGUGGGGAAUUUUGGACAAUGGGCGCAAGCCUGAUCCAGCAAUGCCGCGUGAGUGAAGAAGGCCUUCGGGUUGUAAAGCUCUUUUGUCAGGGAAGAAAAGGGAUUGGCUAAUAUCUGAUCCUCAUGACGGUACCUGAAGAAUAAGCACCGGCUAACUACGUGCCAGCAGCCGCGGUAAUACGUAGGGUGCAAGCGUUAAUCGGAAUUACUGGGCGUAAAGCGUGCGCAGGCGGUUUUGUAAGACUGUCGUGAAAUCCCCGGGCUCAACCUGGGAAUGGCGAUGGUGACUGCAAGGCUAGAGUUUGGCAGAGGGGGGUAGAAUUCCACGUGUAGC
rnacentral:rRNA from 1 species